rnacentral:lncRNA from 1 species
AUACAUUGUUUCACUAAAUAUGUGGCUGUUUGAAUUUCUAGAUUUAUCAGCUAUUAUCAUUAUUAUUAUUAAAUUACUAUUAGAUUAUCAUUACAUACCAAAAACUUAUUUAUUGUCUAAGAGUGGAUAAAAUUUUAGCAUCCCCAAAUUGGGCAGAAAUCAUCAUAAUGGAAGCUGGAUUUGAUAUACUUAUUUUGCUUCUCAUUGCCUGGUUCCAUUUUAUUUUAUUUUUCAGCAAGUUCCUUCCUAUUACUGUAUUUCAGUUAUAUACUUAAAUACAUUAAAUUUCCACAUAUACAUCUCUCUAAUAUAUGUAUAUCGUUAUGUAAUUCAAAUAUAUGAAGAAAAUAACUCAUACAUAUGAAUUUUAUGUAUAUGUUCAACCUAAAAAUUUUACCAAUCAUGUAUUUUCCUAAUUCUCUUUGCUUACAAAUAGUUAAACUAUAACUGAGUUUCCUUCUGUUUCAUCCCUCCAAUCAUGUAAAUCCGGAUGUCAUGUGGUCUUAGUAAAAAUUGUUCUUUCUCUAGCUCCUCCAUUGGGGGCCCUGUGAUCCAUCUAAUAGCUGACUGUGAGC